AAAACUCUGUCGUUCUCACGUCCCGCAAGAGUAGGAAGGGAUCCCAGGCCGCGUAAUUAGCGCUAGCAUCCGUGAGAGGCCAGAGCCCGUCCGCUCGGGGACCCAGGCCCCUCGUGCGCUCACGACGGAGAACUUCGCAGCGCAUCGGCCGACGGCUGCUCCGGUCGCCGCCCCUACUCCGCGCGCCCAGAGGUAAGGGUGUGGCCCAUCGAUGCCGUCCUCCUCUGCUUGGUGGCCUCCAUGGAUGCGGGAGGCCAAGUCGCCAGAUCUGUGCUGGCCGAUCGAAAGGGUCCCCGGAGGACGGCCGUCGGCCGGAGCUUCGCCAUCUACCUCCAACAGCCAUCCGGCACCCCAUUGCUACUGGUGUGUCGUGCCCCUUCCCAAUCAACGUCGCCGACAGCCUCACGGAUGCCGACAUCGCCGGGCUUCCUCAGCUCCCUCCCUGCCCCCUUGCCGGACCUCCCCGGCUCCCAGCUGCCCGUACACAGCACCGACACGGUCCCCGUGGCCUUGUUGACACCUCCCCGAGCAGGUGACCCACACGCACACCACUCUCGGCUGCACCAGCGCGGAACUGAUGGUGCACGACGACGAGCUUCCUAGACAAGAGGAUCUCCGUACUCUUUCUGAUGGUGCAAAAUCAAGGUUCACUUUCGCCUUAUUAUUGCUCCACAUAUUGAUACAAAUGUCGGAGAUUGCUCUUUUCUGGACACCUGCCGCCACACUGAGAUCUGGAGUGGACUGAAGUUUCAGUAUCUAUGAGAGAUGCAAGAACCUGUUCUCCUUCUCAAGGAAGCAUUGAGCAGUUGCAUUGCAAAUACAAGGAUCACCAUCAGUCCAACAGAGAGGUAGCAACAAGAGGUUGAGGUUAUCACUUGAGGGCAAGAAAUCCUAUCGUAUCCUUCCAAACGCGGAGGAGCAUUCCUUAUACUUUUAGCAGAUCAAAUAAUUCGAUGAUGCUUUGCUUUCUUACUAUUAUCUGUUGAAAUGCAUGUUAUCUGUUGAAGAGCAUGAUUGUUCUGAUUAUAAGGACCCUUUUUCCAACAUCGAGAUGAUGUAUUUGCAAACCUUAAUGCAAAAUGGUUAGUCAGUCUCAGCUCUACUUUCCAGAAGAACAUGUAACUGGAGGUUAUGCAGUCUAAUGUCGACAGGCGCGAGAUACAACGCCAACCUGGCAAGCUUUAUCUUCCUAUAAGCCACCCAGAGGUCCAGGGCGACUACAUGCCCAUCACUCGCGGCGGCGAGAAGCACAUGCAUACGGCAAGCUCUGUGUCGAGAUUAUUAACCAACACCUGUUGGGAGCCCGGAUGAAGAAGGCUGUCGACGCGGAGAAAGAGGAUAAGUGAUGAGAUGUUUAUGGCAGCUAAUGGAUGAUGUUAUCUUAGUUCUGGAUUUUUGUUUCGGUUGAUCGGAAACCUUGUUUGAUUUUUGAAGAUAGCUUUUUAGAACUACAAAUAUUUGAUACAAUGUGUUUUAGUAUAGACGUGCGUUGCACGUGCGAGCUUACUAGUACUAAUGGAGGAAGAACAAAUGAACUGGA